rnacentral:rRNA from 1 species
CAGCCGCCGCGGUAAUACCGGCGGCCCGAGUGGCGGUCACUUUUAUUGGGCUUAAAGCGUCCGUAGCCGGGUUGGGAAGUCCUCCGGGAAAUCUGGCCGCUUAACGGUCAGAAUGCCGGAGGAUACUCCCAGCCUAGGGAGCGGGAGAGGCCGAGGGUAUUCCCGGAGUAGGGGUGAAAUCCUAUAAUCUCGGGAGGACCACCUGUGGCGAAGGCGCUCGGCUGGAACGCGUCCGACGGUGAGGGACGAAGGCCAGGGGAGCAAACCGGAUUAGAUACCCGGGUAGUCCUGGCUGUAAACGAUGCGGACUUUGUGUCGGACAAGCUAUGAGCUUGUCCGGUGCCGGAGGGAAACCGUUAAGUCCGCCGCCUGGGGAGUACGGCCGCAAGGCUGAAACUUAAAGGAAUUGGCGGG